rnacentral:tRNA from 1 species
GGGGUUGUAGCUCAGUGGUAGAGCACUUGCCUAGCACAUGUGAGGUGCUGAGUUCAAUCCUCAGCACCUCA